AGGAAGGAAACACCUAGGGGAGGUGAAUUUUACUUUUCCACUCCUAACAAUCUUCCUCCACAAGCCCUUGUGCAAUCAGCACUUGCUCAUUCUCGCUGAGAGACGCAGGCAGAGACCUCGGCUGAAGAAUUGGAUAGAGAGAGCAUUUGGGCACUACCGCUCGGUUUUGGGUGUUGGCAAUGGGUCCACUUGAUUCUACUCUGCAGAGCUUUUCUCGACAUGGAAAGUGGACUUGUGAGCCUGACAUUCAGUGAUUUCGACCUCUACAUUUGGCUACCACAGCCCCCAAGACAAUGGUGCUGACUCCAGGAGAGGACACACAAGGGAAGGUUGUGGGAAGAAUUCCAGGGAGAACCCCAACAUUGCCGAGUCUCCCAUAUGCCUUUGGAUCCAGUUAAGUGGUUCAUCAGGUGCUUAGGGGUGAGGAGAUAUUGGACUUCCAGAAACUGCAACCCUUCCUUCCAUACCCUAGACCUCCUUCCAGAUGUUCAAUAAAGGACUCGGAUUUCCUGGACCUCUCUGCUCCAGGCGAUUGUCUCUGGCUGUGCUAUUGCAGGAUGGAGAAGUACCUGGAAACAGAGUUGUGGCUUUGGGGAUCUGAGAGCUGGUCAGUAUAGGUAUGUGUGAUUGUGGUGAAAUACAUGGAAAUGGAUAAGAUUAUUAAGUGCAGAGUUUCUCUUCUCCACUGGGGACAUUCUGCAGUAUCUGGAGAAAUUCUUCAUUGCUCCAAUGUGGAGUGGUAUCUAACUAGUGGUAUCUAACAGGGAGAGGCCAGAGAUGUGCAGACAUUCUACAGUGCACAGGAUCCUGAGCAGCAAAGAUGCACCUAACCAAACAAAUAGUGCAGAGGCUGAGAAAACACAGAUCUUCUAGAUCUGUAGAGAGCAAAGAGCCUCAGAGGGAGCACUAAGAUGCUCUGGUAUUCAAGGCAAGCAAAUAGCCCUGAAAAGGACCCACCAACGAAGGGAGAGGGUGAGAUUCAAAGAGAAAGGAGGAAGCAGUUCAGUUGCAA